UACGUAGGGUGCGAGCGUUAAUCGGAAUUACUGGGCGUAAAGGGUGCGCAGGCGGUUUUGUAAGCCAGAUGUGAAAGCCCCGGGCUUAACCUGGGAAUGGCAUUUGGGACUGCAAGGCUAGAGUGUGGCAGAGGAGACUGGAAUUCCUGGUGUAGCAGUGAAAUGCGUAGAUAUCAGGAGGAAUACCGAUGGCGAAGGCAGGUCUCUGGGCCGAUACUGACGCUGAGGAGCGAAAGCGUGGGGAGCGAACAGG
rnacentral:rRNA from 1 species